rnacentral:rRNA from 1 species
AGUGAACGCUGGCGGUAGGCCUAACACAUGCAAGUCGAACGGUAGCACAGUAAGAGCUUGCUCUUACGGGUGGCGAGUGGCGGACGGGUGAGGAAUACAUCGGAAUCUACUUUUUCGUGGGGGAUAACGUAGGGAAACUUACGCUAAUACCGCAUACGACCUACGGGUGAAAGCAGGGGAUCUUCGGACCUUGCGCGAUUGAAUGGGCCGAUGUCGGAUUAGCUAGUUGGCGGGGUAAAGGCCCACCAAGGCGACGAUCCGUAGCUGGUCUGAGAGGAUGAUCAGCCACACUGGAACUGAGACACGGUCCAGACUCCUACGGGAGGCAGCAGUGGGGAAUAUUGGACAAUGGGCGCAAGCCUGAUCCAGCCAUACCGCGUGGGUGAAGAAGGCCUUCGGGUUGUAAAGCCCUUUUGUUGGGAAAGAAAAGCAGCAGGUUAAUACCCCGCUGUUCUGACGGUACCCAAAGAAUAAGCACCGGCUAACUUCGUG